rnacentral:rRNA from 1 species
ACGCUCUUCCGAUCUCUCAGAUUGAACGCUGGCGGCAGGCCUAACACAUGCAAGUCGAGCGCGAAAAUACUUCGGUAUGAGUAGAGCGGCGGACGGGUGAGUAACGCGUAGGAAUCUAUCCAGUAGUGGGGGACAACUUGGGGAAACCCAAGCUAAUACCGCAUACGUCCUAAGGGAGAAAGCGGGGGAUCUUCGGACCUCGCGCUAUUGGAGGAGCCUGCGUUGGAUUAGCUAGUUGGUGGGGUAAAGGCCCACCAAGGCGACGAUCCAUAGCUGGUCUGAGAGGAUGAUCAGCCACACCGGGACUGAGACACGGCCCGGACUCCUACGGGAGGCAGCAGUGGGGAAUAUUGCGCAAUGGGCGAAAGCCUGACGCAGCCAUGCCGCGUGUGUGAAGAAGGCCUUAGGGUUGUAAAGCACUUUCAAUUGGGAAGAAAGGUUAGUCGUUAAUAGCGGCUAGCUGUGACAUUACCUUUAGAAGAAGCACCGGCUAACUCCGUGCCAGCAGCCGCGGUAAUACGGAGGGUGCGAGCGUUAAUCGGAAUUACUGGGCGUAAAGCGCGCGUAGGCGGUUUGUUAAGUCGGAUGUGAAAGCCCCGGGCUCAACCUGGGAAUUGCACCCGAUACUGGCCGACUGGAGUGCGAGAGAGGGAGGUAGAAUUCCACGUGUAGCGGUGAAAUGCGUAGAUAUGUGGAGGAAUACCGGUGGCGAAGGCGGCCUCCUGGCUCGAUACUGACGCUGAGGUGCGAAAGCGUGGGUAGCAAACAGGAUUAGAUACCCUGGUAGUCCACGCCGUAAACGAUGUCUACUAGCC